GCCCUUGUAGCGCAGUGGCCAGCGCAGCAGUUUUGUAAACUGCGGGUCGUGGGUUCAAAUCCCACCAAGGGCU
rnacentral:tRNA from 1 species